GACUACAGGGGUAUCUAAUCCUGUUCGAUCCCCACGCUUUCGUGCCUCAGCGUCAGUCGGGCGCCGGUAUGCUGCCUUCGCAAUCGGAGUUCUGCGUGAUAUCUAUGCAUUUCACCGCUACACCACGCAUUCCGCAUACUUCUCGCCCACUCAAGAUCCCCAGUUUCAACGGCCGGCCCGGGUUGAGCCCGGACAUUUUACCGCUGACUUAAAACUCCGCCUACGCACCCUUUAAACCCAAUAAAUCCGGAUAACGCUCGCAUCCUCCGUAUUACCGCGGCUGCUGGCACGGAGUUAGCCGAUGCUGUUUCUUCAAGUACCCUCGGUCAGGCUCUCGAGCCUGAUUUUGUCCCUUGACAAAAGAAGUUUACAAUGCUUGGCACCUUCGUCCUUCACGCGGCGUGGCUGGUUCAGCCUUCCGGCCAUUGACCAAUAUUCCUCACUGCAGCCACCCGUAGG
rnacentral:rRNA from 1 species